rnacentral:rRNA from 2 species
UUUCCUACGGGAGGCAGCAGUGGGGAAUCUUGGACAAUGGGCGCAAGCCUGAUCCAGCCAUGCCGCGUGAGUGAAGAAGGCCUUAGGGUUGUAAAGCUCUUUUACCAGGGACGAUAAUGACGGUACCUGGAGAAUAAGCCCCGGCAAACUUCGUGCCAGCAGCCGCGGUAAUACGAAGGGGGCUAGCGUUGUUCGGAAUUACUGGGCGUAAAGCGCACGUAGGCGGGUCGUUAAGUCAGGGGUGAAAUCCCGGAGCUCAACUCCGGAACUGCCUUUGAUACUGGCGAUCUAGAGAUCGAGAGAGGUGAGUGGAAUUCCGAGUGUAGAGGUGAAAUUCGUAGAUAUUCGGAAGAACACCAGUGGCGAAGGCGGCUCACUGGCUCGAUACUGACGCUGAGGUGCGAAAGCGUGGGGAGCAAACAGGAUUAGAUACCCUUGUAGUC